AGCGUCUCGGCCUCCUCGUUA
rnacentral:miRNA from 1 species